GAUAAACGCUGGCGGCGCACAUAAGACAUGCAAGUUGAACGGACUUAAUCGAAAUAUUUAUAUUUUGAAGCGGUUAGUGGCGGACUGGUGAGUAACGCGUAAGGAACCUGCCUAUUAGAGGGGAAUAACAGUGAGAAAUCAUUGCUAAUACCGCAUAUGCCAUAGAUAUCACAUGAUAACAGUGGGAAAGGAGCAAUCCGCUAAUAGAUGGCCUUGCGUCUGAUUAGAUAGUUGGUGGGGUAACGGCCUACCAAGUCGACGAUCAGUAGCCGGACUGAGAGGUUGAACGGCCACAUUGAGACUGAGAUACGGCCCAGACUCCUACAGGAGGCAGCAGUCGGGAAUAUUGCGAAAUGGAAGAAACUCUGACGAAGUGGCGACGCGUAUAGGAAGAAGGUUUGCGGAUUGUAAACUAUUAUCGUUAGGGAAGAGAAAGGACAGUACCUAAGGAGGAAGCUCCGGCUAACUACGUG
rnacentral:rRNA from 1 species